rnacentral:rRNA from 1 species
GACGAACGCUGGCGGCGUGCUUAACACAUGCAAGUCGAACGGAAAGGCCCUGCUUUUGUGGGGUGCCCGAGUGGCGAACGGGUGAGUAACACGUGAGUAACCUGCCCUUGACUUUGGGAUAACUUCAGGAAACUGGGGCUAAUACCGGCUAGGAGCUCCUGCUGCAUGGUGGGGGUUGGAAAGUUUCGGCGGUUGGGGAUGGACUCGCGGCUUAUCAGCUUGUUGGUGGGGUAGUGGCUUACCAAGGCUUCGACGGGUAGCCGGCCUGGGAGGGUGACCGGCCACAUUGGGACUGAGAUACGGCCCAGACUCCUACGGGAGGCAGCAGUGGGGAAUAUUGCACAAUGGGCGGAAGCCUGAUGCAGCAACGCCGCGUGCGGGAUGACGGCCUUCGGGUUGUAAACCGCUUUCGCCUGUAACGAAGCGUGAGUGACGGUAAUGGGUAAAGAAGCACCGGCUAACUACGUG